CAGUGGGGAAUUUUCCGCAAUGGGCGAAAGCCUGACGGAGCAAUGCCGCGUGGAGGUGGAAGGCCUACGGGUCGUCAACUUCUUUUCUCGGAGAAGAAACAAUGACGGUAUCUGAGGAAUAAGCAUCGGCUAACUACGNGCCAG
rnacentral:rRNA from 1 species